rnacentral:rRNA from 1 species
AUUGAACGCUGGCGGCAGGCCUAACACAUGCAAGUCGAACGAGAGGCGGACGGGUGAGUAAUGCUUGGGAACCUAGCUUAUGGAGGGGGAUAACUACGGGAAACUGUAGCUAAUACCGCGUACCAUAGGAUGAGCCGAAGUGGGAUUAGGUAGUUGGUGAGGUAAAGGCUCACCAAGACGACGAUGUCUAGCUGGUCUGAGAGGUUGACCGGCCACACUGGGACUGAGACACGGCCCAGACUCCUACGGGAGGCAGCAGUGGGGAAUAUUGCGCAAUGGAGGCAACCCUGACGCAGCCAUGCCGCGUGAGUGAAGAAGGCCUUCGGGUUGUAAAGUACUUUCGGUCGGGAGGCGUUACCGACAGAAGAAGCACCGGCUAACUCCGUGCCAGCCGCCGCGGUAAUAC